UUAGUUGUCGUCGUAUCUUUG
rnacentral:siRNA from 1 species